UGGGGAAUUGUUCGCAAUGGGCGCAAGCCUGACGACGCAACGCCGCGUGGAGGAUGAAGACCUUCGGGUCGUAAACUCCUUUCGAUCGAGACGAAUGGCCUCCGGGUGAACAAUCCGGAGGAGUGACGGUACCGAGAGAAGAAGCCCCGGCUAACUCCGUGCCAGCAGUCGCGGUAAUACAGAGGCCACAAGCGUUAGUCGGAAUCACUGGGCUUAAAGGGUGCGUAGGCUGGCUCGUAAGUGUUCUGUGAAAGCCCCCGGCUCAACCGGGGAACAGCAGGGCAUACUGCGGGUCUUGAGGCAGGUAGGGGUCGCGAGAACAGUAGGUGGAGCGGUGAAAUGCGUAGAUAUCUACUGGAAUGCCGAUGGUGAAGACGCGCGACUGGGCCUGUCCUGACGCUGAGGCACGAAAGCGUGGGGAGCAAACAGGAUUAGAUACCCAUGUAGUCCCUGAGCGGGCUGGCAAGGCGCAU
rnacentral:rRNA from 1 species